GACGAACGCUGACGGCGUGCUUAACACAUGCAAGUCGAAGGGAGUGGCGAACGGGUGAGUAACACGUGAGUAACCUGCCCUUUUCUUUGGGAUAAGCCUGGGAAACGGGGACUAAUACUGGAUGGUUUGGGAUGGGCUCGCGGGUUAUUAGCUAGUUGGUGGGGUGAUGGCUUACCAAGGCUAUGACGGGUAGCCGGCCUGAGAGGGUGGUCGGUCACACUGGGACUGAGAUACGGCCCAGACUCCUACGGGAGGCAGCAGUGGGGAAUAUUGCACAAUGGGCGAAAGCCUGACGGAGCAACGCCGCGUGUAUGAUGAAGGUCUUCGGAUCGUAAAGCUCUUUUAUUAGGGAAACGGUACCUAAUCAAAAAGCCACGGCUAACUCCGUGCCAGCAGCCGCGGUAAUAC
rnacentral:rRNA from 1 species